AUUGAACGCUGGCGGCAUGCCUUACACAUGCAAGUCGAACGGCAGCAUGAUCUAGCUUGCUAGAUUGAUGGCGAGUGGCGAACGGGUGAGUAAUACAUCGGAACGUGCCCUGUAGUGGGGGAUAACUAGUCGAAAGAUUAGCUAAUACCGCAUACGACCUGAGGGUGAAAGUGGGGGACCGCAAGGCCUCAUGCUAUAGGAGCGGCCGAUGUCUGAUUAGCUAGUUGGUGAGGUAAAGGCUCACCAAGGCGACGAUCAGUAGCUGGUCUGAGAGGACGAUCAGCCACACUGGGACUGAGACACGGCCCAGACUCCUACGGGAGGCAGCAGUGGGGAAUUUUGGACAAUGGGGGCAACCCUGAUCCAGCAAUGCCGCGUGUGUGAAGAAGGCCUUCGGGUUGUAAAGCACUUUUGUCCGGAAAGAAAUCGCACUUACUAAUAUUAGGUGUGGAUGACGUACCGGA
rnacentral:rRNA from 1 species